rnacentral:rRNA from 1 species
UACAGAGGUCUCAAGCGUUGUUCGGAUUCAUUGGGCGUAAAGAGCUCGUAGGCGGUCUGUCGCGUCUGCUGUGAAAACUCGGGGCUUAACCCCCGGGCCUGCAGUGGGUACGGGCAGACUAGAGUGCGGUAGGGGAGACUGGAAUUCCUGGUGUAGCGGUGAAAUGCGCAGAUAUCAGGAGGAACACCGGUGGCGAAGGCGGGUCUCUGGGCCGAUGACUGACGCUGAGGAGCGAAAGCAUGGGGAGCGAACAGG